ACGAACGCUGGCGGCAAGCUUAACACAUGCAAGUCGAACGCCGUGGCAAUACGGAGUGGCAGACGGGUGAGUAACGCGUGGGAACGUGCCUUUCGGUUCGGAACAACUGAGGGAAACUUCAGCUAAAACCGGAUACGCCCUUCGGGGGAAAGUUUACGCCGAAAGAUCGGCCCGCGUCAGAUUAGGUAGUUGGUGGGGUAAUGGCCUACCAAGCCUGCGAUCUGUAGCUGUUCUGAGAGGAAGAUCAGCCACAUUGGGACUGAGACACGGCCCAAACUCCUACGGGAGGCAGCAGUGGGGAAUAUUGGACAAUGGGCGCAAGCCUGAUCCAGCUAUGCCGCGUGGAUGAAGAAGGCCUUCGGGUUGUAAAGUCCUUUCGGUGGUGAAGAUAAUGACGGUAACCACAGAAGAAGCCCCGGCUAAUUUCGU
rnacentral:rRNA from 1 species